GACCAAGAUCGAGAUGGCCCGUGCACAGCUGGUGUUGGUCGCCCUCGUGGCAGCUCUGCUCCUGGCGGGCCCACACACCACCAUGGCCGCCAUCAGCUGCGGCCAGGUCAACUCCGCCGUGUCGCCCUGCCUCAGCUACGCCCGCGGCGGCUCCGGCCCGUCGGCGGCCUGCUGCAGCGGCGUCAGGAGCCUCAACUCCGCCGCCACCACCACCGCCGACCGCCGCACCGCCUGCAACUGCCUCAAGAACGUGGCCGGCAGCAUCAGCGGCCUCAACGCCGGCAAUGCCGCCAGCAUCCCCUCCAAGUGCGGCGUCAGCAUCCCCUACACCAUCAGCCCCUCCAUCGACUGCUCCAGGUAAUCAUCCAUCAAUAUGAUAAAUUUAUACUAUCGUUUUGCAUAUGAUCAUCUAAUUAAUUAAGUACAUAUAAAUUAAUUUGUGCGUGUACAUACGUGCAGCGUGAACUAAUCCGAUCGAUCGCUACCGGAGGAUGACAUGCAGCGCCGGCCGAGAUGCAGCUGUCGUCUCACGCUUUGUAUCUUGUGUUAUCUGUGUUUAUGCUGAAUAAAAUGAGAGCUAGCUAGCUAGGUCGAUCCAUCGCCAUGCAUACAUGGUUGAUCGCCCGGCCGGUCACUACGCUAUCUGUUUCCUUAAUUUAUUCGUCGAUCGACUAUACGUACCUGAGAGCUAGAGAUCAGUUUUUGUACCAUAUGCAUAUGUACUUCUGCAUGUACAUGGAGUACUACUUGUACUACGUGCGUGUACGUUGUGGAUUAUACAUAGAUAUAUAGCUCUUUUUCGUAUACAAAUACAUGUUCUACACCGAUUACUCCAUCUUCCUGGCAUUACACAUAUAUACAAACUUGGGUAAAAAAACAGUACUGUGUUAAUUUGUCUUGAAAUAUAUAUACUCUAAUAAUAAAUUAAUAAAUUACUCCCUUCAUCUCGAAAUAUAUAAGCAUUUUUAAAAUAGCGUCAAGUCAAAUAUUUUUAACUUUGGUUAUUAAUAGCAAAAAAAAUCAAUAAUGUAAAAUUGAUAUUACUAGAUUUAUCAUUAAACAAACUGUCACAAUAUGCAACUCUUUUUAUUUAAAAUAUGCUGAGUUUCAGAGGAGAAGAAAAGAGAAGAUUGAGAAGAUACGCAAAACGAGGUGUACCAUUAGCGCAUGAUUAAUUGAGUAUUAACUAUUUUAAACUUCAAAAAUGGAUUGAUAUGAUUUUUCAAAGCAAAUUUCAUAUAGAUUUUUUUUUGUAAAAACACACCAUUUAGUAGUGUAAAAAAACACACCGCUAACGAAACAAACUUUCUCUCUUUCACAUGCUGUUGAAAGCAGCCUUACUUUUACAAAUAUUGUUAGUCAAAGUAGCAUCGUGAAGACCAUAUCGAAGUCCAAUAAUACUUAUAUUUUUGGAUGGAAUUAUUAAUAUAGUCAAAGCCGCACUUUGAAAGACUAUUGAAAGGGGUAAAACUAUGAGAACACAUAAUUAAGUUGUUCAACGAAUACAAUGUUGGAGUAUUGUAUUAAUUAGAUAGCCAACAGAUAUCUUGCAAUCAUCUGACCAAGCUUUAUAUGUCUACCCCGCAAAAAAAAAAGAUAUGUCUAGUUAUAACUUACCUCACACAUUUUAUAGGCUCGCAGAGUGUGAGAAUGAUUAUCCUAUUUGCUGAGUACUGCUACACGUACUAAAUUUUUCUUACUAAAUUUGUACUAACAAUCGUCUCAACUGUUUGAUUCAAGUAGAUGAAAGUUAUAAAAAAUCUAGAUGCACUCAUAGCAUGAUAUGUCAGUGUUAGUAAGAAUUUAGUAAGAAAAAGUUAGUAUGUGACUUUUCCCAUAAUAAAAAGGAUACUUAUUUUUCUAGACCUUUAGAGUGAAUAUGAUAACUUCUUCAAUUUACUCUUGUUCUUUUGAUAUAAUAUAAUGUUUGAAAAGAUGGAUGGACGAUAUACAGGCAGGCCGGUGUACUAAUACAUAUAGUUCCUAAAGUUUCAUGUGCUUCAUUUGAAUCGGAUGCACCGCAGGCCGGCCUUGUUUCAUUUCUCCUGGCGAAGAAGCCCUUGGCCCAAAUACACGUCAAAUUAAUCUCAAAUAUGGAAAAGAAGCUAUGUCAUGCAUAAAUAUUUAUUCAUUUGGAUCAUACUCCCUCCGUACCACGAAAUAUCAAUUCCAAUCCCAAGAAGAAAAUAGUGAAGAGUAAAAAUGACCAAAAUACCUCUUAUUGUUGGAAAAGGUAGUAGUAGUGAUAGGUAGGUAAAAGGUAUUUAAGGGAUAAAACUUCUCGUUUUGUGUGCUGAGAGUAGUUAAGAUGAUAGAAGUUGAUUUUUUUUGGACAAAAUUUAAACUAAGAUAAGUUUUAUUUGGAUAUGGGGAGUAUAUACAAGGGAAAGGGCUUCAUGGCCCAUACAUCCUAGCUUACUUAUCCACUACUACAGAAGCACUAAUCGGUGCCAGUUGAGAAACCUCCUUAGGUGUCGGUUUUUCCAACCAGCACCACGGAAGCGGCAUUGAUUACUCGGGUCAAAACCGACAUCUUUGAGGCAUACACGAGCCAAAAAAAAAAACGGUUUGAUGUAUCGAGCCGUCAAGCUGAUCCCAAAUAAUAACCAAAUCCCAAAAUUGCGUCAAAUCCAUGAACACGUGAACUAAAUUGCGUCAAAUCCAUGAACAGAUGAACUAUAGUAAAAAAAUCCCUAGAAAAACAAUGCAUCUAGAUCAAAUAAUACACAUCUAGAUCACAUCAACAUGAACAAAUCACAAAGAGGGAGGAGAAGAGAUGGAUCCACGGCCGCCAACACCGUCGCACCUCUAGCCAGCUCUCUCCCACUGCCGCAUGCCACCUCCCGCCGCUGGGCCACCCCUCCGGACCGCCACCGGGUCACCGUCUCCCCUCCUGCUAGAUCUGGCGGAGGGGAGGGCCCUGCCAUGUUGCCGCCUCCCUUCCCACUGGAUCUGGCGGAGGGGAGGGUGCCGCCGCUUUCGGGCCGCUGCCUCUCCUCCCGUCGGCUCUGGCAUAGGGGAGCACGCAGCCGUGCUGCCGCCGGACCACCGCCUCCCCUCCCAUCGGAUCUGGCGGAGUGGAGGGCCCCGCCAUGGUGGAUGGAGGAGGAGGAGAGAGGAGAAGGAAGAAAUGGAGAGAAAGAGGGAAGAAGAAGAGAGGAGGAAGUGGACUGUGGGUGCGGGAGAUAGAGUUCGAGAGAGAGAGGGGAGGAAGAGAUAAGGAUGGGGGUAGAUAGGGUGGCUCAGCUCGGCUCGGUCGGUUCGGCAGAUAGGUGUCGGUUAAAAAAAACGGCACUUAUAAUAUAUUAUAGGUCUUGGUUUUUAAUUAACCGACACCUAUAAUAUAUUACAGAUGCCGGUUAUUUCUUAAAAACCGACACUCAUAGUAUAAGUGUCGAUUUUUCUUUAGAACCAACACCUAUAGUUAUUUAAAAGGUGUCGGUUUUUUAUGUUUUCAUCCAGUUGAGGUGGGAAAAAUAUUAUAUAUAGGUGCCAGUAUUAGCACGUACAGCACCUAUAGUGCUAAUAUAUAUGUCUCUUUUUUAAGUAGUGAUCCCUCGGAAUAAUAGUAAACCAAACAAUAUUCUUAUUCUGCAGGUGUGAACAAAUUAAACUUAGUUUUGUCUUGAUCAUUUGCCAACUAUUCUUUUUAAGGUUAACUGUCAACUACUCGCAUUUCUCAUAUACCCAUCCUCCUGUGGAAAACCUCAACCUUCCUCCUAGUGGAAAACCUUGAGGACAUGUUCCCUCGUUCCCUAAAAUUAAUAUAAAUAUAUUUACUCUUUCUACACAUUUACAUCAAUACAAUUCGCAAAUACAGUCGACUGUAGAUGGAGGGGAAUAAGCUCUGGUUUUCCCAACAGCCAACCACCAGCUGCUAAGCUAGCUCCCAAUCGUAUUGAAUGAACGUAUGGACACAUGCACCGUCUAAACACCACAAACCCAUCCUUGCUUUGUUAAUUGCUCGAUCUCUUGCAGCUGCGCAUCUGUGCAUGCAUCCACACUAGCAAAUGUACCUAUUUAAGCCCCUGCAUUCCCGCGUAUUCUCCUCAUCCAUCCAUCAUCCAUCUCAUCAUCAGCAACCAAUUCGCACCGAUCGAUCGAUCGAUCCAGCAACUAGAUCAACAGUACUAGCUAGGAAGCAUGGCCCGUGCACAGUUGGUGUUGGUCGCCCUGGUGGCAGCUCUGCUCCUCGCCGCCCCGCACGCCGCCGUGGCCAUCACCUGCGGCCAGGUCAACUCCGCCGUCGGGCCCUGCCUGACCUACGCCCGCGGCGGCGCCGGGCCGUCGGCGGCCUGCUGCAGCGGCGUGAGGAGCCUCAAGGCGGCAGCAAGCACGACCGCAGACCGGCGCACCGC
rnacentral:lncRNA from 1 species